rnacentral:rRNA from 1 species
GUUGAUCCUGGCUUAGAACGAACGCUGGUAGCGUGGAUUAGGCAUGCAAGUCGAACGGGAUCCGGAAGGUAGCAAUAUCGGUCCGGUGAGAGUGGCGGAAGGGCGAGGAACGCGUGGACAACCUGUCCAUGGGACGGGGAAAACUCCGGGAAACUGGAGCUAAUACCCGAUACGUCGCGGAGCGGCAUCGCUUCAGCGGCAAAGGGGGCGCCGCAAGGGCUCCCGCCCAACGAGGGGUCCGCGUAUCAUCAGCUUGUUGGCGGGUAACGCCACCAAGGCUUACGAUUAGCUGGUCUGAGAGGAUGGCCAGCCGCACUGGGACUGAGAUACUGCCCAGACUCCUACGGGAGGCUGCAGUCGAGGAUCAUUCGCAAUGGGGGAAACCCUGACGAUGCGACGCUGCGUGGAGGAAUGAAGGCCUUCGGGUUGUAAACUCCUGUCAUGAGGGAAAAGGCGAGAGUACCCAACACGUACUUUAGUUGAUGGUACCUCAAGAGGAAGCGACGGCUAACUCUGUGCCAGCCGCGGC